rnacentral:rRNA from 3 species
GCGAAGAGGUCACACCCGUUCCCAUACCGAACACGGAAGUUAAGCUCUUCAGCGCCGAUGGUAGUUGGGGGUUUCCCCCUGUGAGAGUAGGAC